rnacentral:misc_RNA from 1 species
CUCUAGUUUCCUACCAUCACCACCUUCAUCCUUCUCCUCCUCAUAGUCCAUCCUUGCACUAGACGUAGCAGUGACAAAAUCCUGCUCCAUCUCAGCACUAAAAUCCUUCUCCUCCACCUCAGUGCCUUGUCUUUCUUAUUAGAAGUUUCACAUGCGGCAUCUUGCUCUUCGCUUGGCUUUUCAAGAAGUUGAUCUUUAUUAAUAAAGGCUGCCC